CAAUAGCGUAUAUUAAAGUUGUUGCAGUUAAAAAGCUCGUAGUUGGAUUUCUGGUGGGAGCGAUCGGUCUGGCGCUUAGCGCGAGUACUUGCAUCGUCUCCGGCCAUCCUUGGGGAGAGUCUGUCUGGCAUUAGGUUGUCGGGCAGAGGAUCUUCAUCGUUUACUGUGAAAACAUUAGAGUGUUCAAAGCAGGCUUAUGCCGUUGAAUAUAUUAGCAUGGAAUAAUAAGAUAGGACUUUGGUACUAUUUUGUUGGUUUGCGCACCAAAGUAAUGAUUAAUAGGGACAGUUGGGGGUAUUCGUAUUCCGUUGUCAGAGGUGAAAUUCUUGGAUUUACGGAAGACGAACUACUGCGAAAGCAUUUACCAAGGAUGUUUUCAUUAA
rnacentral:rRNA from 1 species